UGGGCGGACCGUCCCGUCUUGAAACACGGGCCAAGGAGUCUAUCUCAGUCGCGAGUCGGAUCAUGCAAAUGGUUAGGCGCAAUGAAAGUGACCCCGCUAACACGGAGAAAGCGGCUGGGAUGGGACCCGAAAGAUGGUGAGCUAUGCUCGGGCAGGAUGAAGCCAG
rnacentral:rRNA from 1 species